GACGUAGGGCGCAAGCGUUGUCCGGAUUUAUUGGGCGUAAAGAGCUCGUAGGCGGCUUGUUGCGUCGACUGUGAAAACCCGCGGCUUAACCGCGGGCCUGCAGUUGAUACGGGCAGGCUAGAGUUCGGUAGGGGAGACUGGAAUUCCUGGUGUAGCGGUGAAAUGCGCAGAUAUCAGGAGGAACGCCGGAGGCGAAAGCGAGUGACUGGCGCGUUCCUGACGCUGAGGUGCGAAAGCUAGGGGAGCAAACAGG
rnacentral:rRNA from 1 species